GUCUCACCUCGCUGGGAUGCGGGGGCCGGCAGUGAGUCGCUCUGUCCUCUGCGCCGCGCUUGGGCAGCCUCGGCGGUUAGGAGAAUGGAGACGCCGCAGCCGGCGCGGCAUCUUCCCCGAACGCGGCCCUCAGGGGGUCUCCCGAGUCAGGGACGCAUCCCAGGCGGCAGUGCCUGUGUCCCCGCCCCGCGCCCCUUCUCGCGGCCUCCGGCCGCCCACGCUCACCAGGCAGCCGACCUCAACGCGCGACCACACGGGGACAGGCAGGAGACCACAGGUCUUUAAUUAUUUGGCAUGCACUUCUUGAUAUGAGGUUAAGCAGGGAUCCAGUAUCAUCAGCCAAUUGCCUUAACAUCAUCUGCUGAAUAGUCUGUGCUUUCCUCCUGUUGGUAAGAUGAAUUUGGGGAGAAUUGACAUCAUUCCUUCCAAGUGCAUCGAAAUACCACUUACUAGGAUUGCUGGAUUAUAAUAACAAAUGCAACUGCAGAGAAACACUGCUGAGAUUUGUAGGUUGUAUGACCUCUUCUAUAAGUUCUAGUAUUUUACCAAUGGGUUCUUAUAUUUUUCCGGAUCAUGUUAUCUAAGAAUAAUGAUAUUUUUAUCUCUUCCAUUGAAAACCUUAUAUCACCUUUUCCCUUGCAUGGACGCUCCAGCACUGUGUUAAAUUAUAGCAGGAUGGUGAACACACUUGUUUCCAGUUGAUAUACCCAAAGCAAAGGGCUUCCUAUCUUGGAGAAAUAGUUUAAGUCAAGCAGGUUGACAAGCACUAGGGAAGACUUUCUGUCUCAGAAAAUUCUUAAGCCUUCUAAUCUAAAUGAUGGGUUCCAGCCUUUGCCAAGGGCAAGGUUCUGCUUGGUCAGAAUUAGGGAAAGAAAAAAAUCAAAUCCUUAUUUCCCUUAGUCACAAACCUAUUCAUUCACUGGGCAUUUCAUCCGAAAUGUGUACCAUUUUUUCCCUUGUCACACUGGCAUCAAGGCAGAGGUAGGUCUUAGGUAAUAAUCUUCAGAUCAGAGGGAUACAAUUUAGUCCCGCGGAGAAAUGUAUCCGAGAAAUGUAUCCAAAAAAUGUGGAUUGAUUCAUGACCCAGGUCAAAUUUUCCUCAUCUGUUUUGCUUUGUGGACAGGAAACUCUUAUGCCUAC
ensembl:lncRNA